UAGCUACGCAGACUGCACAAAGUGCCAGGCUCAUGCACAGGGCAGAGGUGGCUCAAGAAAAAAUUACCCUUCUGUCUCAAGAGUAAUGCAGGCCGGGAAGGGCAACAUGUGACAAGGACAAUCAAAGACAUCUCUUCUAUGGGAGAAGUGGAGAAAACUUGACACCAUUCUGGGGGGACCCAGAAUCUGCUCUAGAGAGGUUUUUUUUAAUGCCAUUCUCAACCUCUUACUGCUCA
rnacentral:lncRNA from 1 species